rnacentral:tRNA from 1 species
ACCUGGGUGGCUCAGUCGGUUGAGCAUCUGACUCUUGAUUUCAGCUCAGGUCAUGAUCUCGCAGUUUGUGGGUUCAAGCCCCACAUCAGGCU